AAUGAGGAACUCAUGGAUGAACUCAAAGGGAAGAAGGAAGAGGUGGCGUGAGGAAGGCUAAGGCCCUCUCAUCACCUUUAGGAGGGAGAUCAAGGCUAACAGGAAAAAGUUGCUGCUGCUGAGACUGCUCCUUGGGAACCCUGGAGGAAAGAUGACUUCAUGAUUGUGGAAGAGCUGAUCAAAGGAGGGGUGCAUGAAGACUGGAGAAUAGCUGAUGUCACUGCAGGCUUCAGAAAGGGUGAGAAGGCUGGCAUCACCUCUGUUCCUGGAAAGAUGUUGUAUCAACUUGUUCCAGAUAUUAUCUCUAGGUGACAGGAAGAGAAGAAACUUCUAAGGAGCAUUGCAAGGGUGAGGGCUGGCUGGAAUACAUGACUGGUUUUGCCAGUGGUGAGAGAUAAGGAUCCAUGGGUGUGGAGUCUCCUGCUGAUUCAGGAUUGGAGGAUCCCAGUGGUGGAGUAAGGCCUGAAGAUGUGUGGCAGGUCCUGUCUUGGAGGAAUGAAGUGAGAGCAGCCCCUGUCCUGGUUGAGGGGUGUUAUCUGGUGAAGGAGUGUAUUGGGAGGUAGUGUCUUGUGGCAAGUUGGUUUGCUUGUCUUUUUUGCUUUGGAGGUGGCUUUGAGGUCAUUGGUAGUGAGCAGCCAAAAACACAGCCUGCCCAAGUGGGGUGGCUGUGUUUUUGGCUGCUGGU